GAUAAGCCCAAAAGCUUCAAUCACACGGUUUUUUUCAGUUUAACUGAAGUUACAGUAGAGUUUUUUUUUUUUUGGUAAAAAAUAACACAUUUUGACGGAGUCUUGCAAACGCGGUGAAAACUAGUAUGAAACUUUCCAUUUUGGCACCGGGUUAAAAAAAAAAAAGGAGAGAGAGAGAGAGAGAAAGAGUGAGACGACGGUUAGCGGAGGGCACAAAGUCCGUUUCUUACUAGUUUUCUGAGGUACGCUUUUCAUCGUCUAAAAGUAGAUUUAGCAAUGCAGUUCUAACAAACUCACAGUUUUUAUGUCUUAUCCUUCCCCUGAUCCCCUAUCCCUAACCUGGAGGGGAUUCGAGAGCUUAUCGGCUGUGCAAAAUUCAGGAAAAAUAAUGAAAAUUAAGAUUCAGAAGACAAUUUCGGGCACGCUUAAGGGCCCCCCCCCCUCCCCCCAGUUGAUGCUGCUGAAAAUAAAAAGGGAAUUUGGGCCGGAAAAAAAAGGAAGUGUUUGAAGAAGUACCCCCGAUGUCACCCCAAAUCCCUGGCAGCCGUCGAUGCCAUUUCAUCUGGUGGAAAGUUGGCCCAUCCGUCCUUAACCGGACGGCAGAGGCGGCCCGACUCGGGGUCCACCUUCUCCAGAUGUUUCCCCAUUUUUAUUCCAGCAGCAAAGUUGGGAGCUAUAAGCCUGCCGCUCUCUCAAGUUUGCAAUAAUCUGCCCCCCCCGGCCCCCCCACCCUCCCCGUAUAACUUCAGCGACUUCUGACCACACUCAUCCUCAUGUCGAUAGGGAAAAGAAAUCCACACAUACGGCUACAUGGGAAGUCAGCAAGCACGGAAACUCCUUGAGGACUCGACUCUGGGCCUCCCGCCGACGGAAAGGACCCCAAAAAUCUCGGGGAGCCGCGGGUAACCCAAGAAGGCCUGUAAUAGCACUUUGGAUGGGGAGUGUUUGCGGCUCCAGAGUGUGGAGCCGCUUUUUCAGUGUGUGUGUCUGUGUGUCAGUGGUGGGUUCAGGCCAGUACGGCCUGGUAUGGGCAUACCGUUAGUAGCCAGAAGCAGCUGACAGCGGCUUGCCCACGUUCGAUACUGGUUUUUAAAGCCACCGGCCAAUUGCGUACAUGUGCACAGUGUGAAGUGCCUGCGCGAUCUUCAACAAGUUGCUGGGUGUCGCAGGGGCGGUGGAGUGCAUGUGCGUUUGCAGCGCAUGUCUACGAAAGGAUGUGUGGCCGUAAGCACCAUACUAGUAGCGACGGGGAGAGGAACCCACCACUGGUGUGUGCGUCUUUGUGUGUUGUGUUUUUUUUCCUACCGCAGGCAAAUUUUCUUUGCCACCCCUCCCCAAUUAAAUGUCUACCAGCCCCGCCAUUCCCCUUCCCCUUCAAAUAUAUAUUUCUAUAUAUAUAUAUAUAAUAAAAUAAAGAAAAUUAGUGUCCCCCCCCCCUCUUUAAUAAAAAUGCUGUCGGUUUGUUGAAGCAAUUCCUAACAGGGGGAAAAAAUAACCCUGCAAUUUGUCUUCAAAUUCCCGACAGGAUCAAGUAUUUCUCCAUUUAUUAUUGACUUCAGUCCUCAAAGAGUUUGGAGAUUUCAUUCUUUAAAAAAAGAACACCAAACAGAGAGCCUAGCUAAAUAUCUGUGCUAAAUAUGCUUUACUAAGUUCAUAGUCCUUCCACCAAAUGGUUUUUUAUUUUCUCCUUCCCUUCAAAAGAGGGGGGCGAGGAUUAAGGGCCGUGACGUCAUCCAGGUAUCCAGAUCGUCGGCGUCUUUUAAUCGUCGGCGCCGCAAAUAAGGCACUGGUAUUUCUGACGGGACCCUCGUCAUCACAGUUUUAGAAAUCAUUUUUGCUGUUUAAUUUCUCCUCGCCCUUCCCUACCCGGUUUAGGGGAGGGGGAGAGAGACAAUCGUAAAUCACAGUUCAAGAUCAACCGAGUUUGAGGUAACGAAACAAUUUUUUUUUUUAAUAAAAAGAUCCUUACCCAAAAAGAGAAGAAAUAUUCGCGUGGUACCAAGUUGGUAGAAGGUCUUGAAUCUAAAAAUACGGUGAUUUUUUUUUGCUUUGAUUUAAUUCUUCUAUUUUGCAUGCAGUACAAAAGACACCCUUUCUCUACCGCGUCUUCGCUUCCGGCUUCUGCUAAACGGCUGACUCGGCUGCGCUUUCCCCCCACACAACUUAACGCAACAGAAAUGGCCCACAACAGAAAGGGGGGCAUCCAGGGACCCCUGUGGAGACGCACCUGGAAGAAACCUAUUCUGCACCCUAAAAGUCCCCCAUUCUGUGUCGGGAUGGGACGACCAGAUGGAGAACUUAUUCGGGGCAGAAAGAGAGCAUCUGGCUGAGCCAAGGAACCCCGGGAUAUUUAGGCCUUUGCAGUGGUGAUACCUGAUCCUGGUUACAUGUAUCCCCUAUAGCAGUGCUCUUGAUUUGCCAGAUGCUACCGGGGCACCGUUGGUAACAGACACUGGCUCCAGUCCAAGAAGCAGGAAAAGUUUCCUAUGCCAUGGGAAACUGUGACCCGCAAGACGAUAGCUGUUCUCAAAAGCUUCGUCCACGGACUGUGAAUUUCGGAGCAAACAGACACACGAUGUUGUGUUGACUUCUCCCCUACGUGGUUUGUGUGGGUGAAAGGCUGUGUUUAAUACAAUCCUUGGAGCAAUGCUUGUCAAACUGGGGCACUUGAAGAUGGGUGGACUUCAACUCCCAGAAUUCCCUGACUGGGGGGGGGGAUUUUGGGAGUUGAAGUCCACCCAUCUUCUAGUCCCCAAACUUGAAAAAAAAAAAACAACUACAGCCUUGGGGAAUUUACUUUUUCUACGCAGGACCCGCGUGUUUCAGAGUUCGGCAGAGCUUUCGAUGCGGCAAAUCUAUUUCAUUCAUAACAAUUGCACUUAAAACCUACUCAAUCGCCUUUUUUCAACGCCGAAGCAGAGACAAAUCGGGCUAGGCUGCCCCUUUGUCUCCGCUUCCAGAUGCUGGGUAGCAACAAGGUUAUUUCUAGAUAGAUAUAAUAUGGCUUCGCGGAUCGUUAGACAAACUAUCCUAAGCAAAAAAAUUAAAAAGGAGCCUUCCGUAACUGUGGCUGGACGAGCAAAACUUCUCCACUGGUUCUCCCUAUGAAGCACUGGAGAAGCCGAAGGUGUUUUGAUUAUUUGGAUUUCGUUGGAUUAUUUCACCUUUCUGGAGGUCUCCCAGUUUGGAGAGAGAUAGAUAACUCAGCUGGGAUAACUCUGAAAUGGCAAUGCAUUUUGUGCUAAAACCUGCACUGCGAUUCCUGGGGAGAAAAUGGUGAGAGUCACCUUCCCUUCCCAUCUCCCAAAACACCGAGCGUCUUUUCACCUGUUACAGCCACGUUUCCUCCUCCUGAAACUAUUCCUAGCUACGUUAUUCCUACCAGGCACUAUCAGUUACAUCUGAAG